rnacentral:rRNA from 1 species
ACGAACGCUGGCGGCAUGCUUAACACAUGCAAGUUGAACGCAGAAUAGAGCUUCGGUUCUAUUGCUGAGUAGCAAACGGGUGAGUAACGCGUGGGAAUCUACCUUUUUGUGGGGGAUAACUGAGGGAAACUUCAGCUAAUACCGCAUAAGCUCUACGGAGGAAAGGCUUCGGCCGCAAGAAGAGGAGCCCGCGUCAGAUUAGGUAGUUGGUGGGGUAAAAGCCUACCAAGCCAAUGAUCUGUAGCUGGUCUGAGAGGAUGAUCAGCCACACUGGGACUGAGACACGGCCCAGACUCCUACGGGAGGCAGCAGUGGGGAAUAUUGGACAAUGGGGGAAACCCUGAUCCAGCAAUGCCGCGUGAAUGAAGAAGGCCUUAGGGUUGUAAAGUUCUUUCACCUGUGACGAUAAUGACGGUAGCAGGAUAAGAAGCCCCGGCUAACUCCGU